AUCUUGACGCCGGAAGCCGCUGAGCGCACACGUGUUGUGCCACCGCACGUGUUAGUUUCUCCUCUUCCCCCCGGUACGGUGACAGUGGAUUGUGACCCAAAGCUGGACAUUCACAGCCAUACACCAGAGAGAACGAUCACCAUUCAGGUUUCUGUGUGUUUCACCCACAAAGACCGGAGCGCUCGGACCUGACACGGCACUGCAUGUGACGCGCGUGCGCUGCGUGGACCCGGAAGUGUUGUUUGUUGUGAACAGCUGACGAGAGGGGUUUAAAGCCGCAGGUGAUGGGCAGCGAUCAGAGCAAGCCCCAGGAAGUGUUGGUGGGCCUGGGGCAUGGGGUGGCUGGGCAGGAGCAGCGACCCCCGCAGACCCCACGAGAGGCCGUGCCCAGGCCAGAGGCGGACCACCACAACCCGGGUGACAUCCCCCAGACACACAUCGGCGGCAAGAUGGUGGACGACAUGCGCUUCAUGAUCGCGUGCACCAAUUGGUACUAAAGGCACAGGGCGGGGGGGCGGCACGGCUACGUGGAGCCCAGGAAAUCACUUCUGUUCAGAAGACGCAAGAGAACCCUCCAACCCUCAUUUAGUCUCACCGACCUCCCCUCCCCCCAGUCCACCUGGCACUACGUAGGGUUCAGGUGUUUCUGAGCCUGGGGUGGGGGAAAUUAUCGUCCUCUGCACCCUCCCAUGUUAAAUGUAAGUUUCCAAAUAAAGUGAAGGAGCCUA